CCUGUCCCUAGAGGCAUGGCAGGUGUGGCUGCUGUGUCACAUGUGCAUCAGUGGGUGGCAGAGAAGAGAGAGGCUAUGGCUAUGCCUAGUGUUCUGACCUGUGAACAUCUGAAUGAUUAUUAGUAGCCUAACAUU
rnacentral:snoRNA from 1 species